CCCUCCUAUGCUCACUAAUUAAUUCAAAAAUUUUAUAGUUCCCUCCUAUACGCACAAAUUAAUUCAAGUUUCUUCAAGAAUCAAGACUUCACACCUGCUACUUCAAUGAAGAUAUAAACUUGCUGAAGAAAGAUGCUCGAAAUACUUCGUUGGAAUUAAUCCCCACGGUUGUCUCAUGAACGGAGACCUCCGACGUCUCUUGCUACUUUCAGUUUCAACCAGACGGCCUUCCUUUUGUCAGUGUUCUUUCCGUCGGUUAACUGUUCGACGAAAUGACAAUUAGAAACUUUUUUAAAAAAUUAGGGUUUUUAUUUUUUCAGUUUCGAAAUACUCCGAGUUCAUAAAUCAAAUGACAAAAUUGUUUAUAUGAUAAGAAAUCACAUACAGUUUUAAUGGUUGUUCUUGAUUUGCUAUAACUGAAUUAGUUGGGUGUUUUUUAUUGUUUAUUUAUUUAUUUUUUUUUAAGGUGAAGGUGCUAAAUGAUUCAAGUCCUAUUAUCGGACCAUAAUAUUUCUGAGUCUUUUGUCAAUACUUUGUCCUUUCUGCUUUUCCAUACAGGGGAGUUCAUAUUUCCAUACAGGGGAGUUCAUAAAACAUUGCUUUUCUAUACAGGUGAGUUCAUAAAACAUAAUUAUAUAUGGUUUUCAACCACAUUAAUCUUUCAUUUUUUUGUGUCAGAUUUUAUAUAACUAAAUCUAGUGCAGUGUUAAUGAAGGAUAUCUAAGUAGGGGUGAGCAAAAGGAAAAACCCGACCCUACCCGACCAUUACCCGACCCGACCCGAGAACCGAUCAAACAUAAAAUAUAGAACCGAUUCACUACCCUAAAUAUAGGGUCGGUUCCGGUCCAUAGGUCAAAGUCGGGUUUCACCAUGAAAAGAACCGCGAACCGACCCGACCCUAUUUUAUAUGAAAAAUUGGAACCGAUCUAAAUACCUAGGUACUUAGGUUCGGGUCGGGUUGGGUAUUUUUCGGUUCGAUUCUCGGUUAUUUUCAGUCCGGACCUAAACUUGCUCACCCCUAUAUCUAAGAUGCACAAUUUCGAGCGUUGCAACACCAAUACUGUUCUAGUGCAACAUUAGAGAAUUUCUAUGUUUGGGAUCUUGGUUUACUUCAAUGCCCCUCAGGUUAGUCUUGAAAUUAAAUAUCCAAACAAAUUCUUAAAUUUAUAGAUUCCAUUUGUGUUGUGAUUUUCGUUUCUGGCUAAUGAUUCCAUUUCAUGUCAGUAAUUGUUUGAUACUGGACAAAAUAUGAGAAGGAGAUCCUUAGCGGGUCAAGUAAACUUCUAACUGAAGA